UACGAAGGUGGCAAGCGUUGUUCGGAUUUACUGGGCGUACAGGGAGCGUAGGCGGUUGGAUAAGCCCUCCGUGAAAUCUCCAGGCUUAACCUGGAAAGUGCAGAGGGGACUGUUCAGCUAGAGGAUGGGAGAGGAGCGCGGAAUUCCCGGUGUAGCGGUGAAAUGCGUAGAUAUCUGGAGGAACACCGUGCAGCGAAGGCGGGUUGCUGGGCUGAUACUGACGCGUGAGGCGACGGAAAGCUAGGGGAGC
rnacentral:rRNA from 1 species